rnacentral:misc_RNA from 1 species
UUGUGGAGGAGGACGCCGAAGGUGGGGCUAAUGACUGGGGUGAAGUCGUAACAAGGUAGCCGUACCGGAAGGUGCGGCUGGAUCACCUCCUAACAGGGAGACAACAAAAUGUUAAAUAUUAAUUUUGUCACCUUAGGUCGAUCGGUACCUCACAUUCUUAAAUUAAUUAAGGAUUUUAUUUCCUAAGUUUUUUCUAGGUCACACCCAUUACUUUUCCUGGGCCAUUAGCUCAGGUGGUUAGAGCGCACCCCUGAUAAGGGUGAGGUCCCUGGUUCAAGUCCAGGAUGGCCCAUAUCUCUAUGUUGGGGGUAUAGCUCAGUUGGUAGAGCGCCUGCUUUGCAAGCAGGAUGUCAGCGGUUCGAGUCCGCUUACCUCCACUGAUUACCACCUCUUCCAUAUUUUAAAGAAAGGAAAUGUUUUGAGUUGUGAUCAAAUUCUGAACGAAUCUAGCUUCCUAAUCGAACACAUUAAGAUGCUGGACUCAUUGAAUUAAAUUCAUUGUUUUCAGAGAACCUUGACAACUGCAUAGAUUAUUUUUAAAGACAAUAAGCAUCUUUAAUGAUGCAGAUUUAUUAUUUGUGCGAAUGCAUUAAUAACAAUUCUAUUAAGCUGAUGCUUCAAUUUUUGAAGUUAUUGGUCAAGCUACAA